rnacentral:rRNA from 1 species
UACGAAGGGGGCUAGCGUUGCUCGGAAUUACUGGGCGUAAAGCGUGCGCAGGCGGUUUUGUAAGCCGGGUGUGAAAUCCCCGGGCUCAACCUGGGAAUGGCAUUUGGGACUGCAAGGCUGGAGUGUGGCAGAGGAGACUGGAAUUCCUGGUGUAGCAGUGAAAUGCGUAGAUAUCAGGAGGAACACCGAUGGCGAAGGCAGGUCUCUGGGCUGACACUGACGCUCAUGCACGAAAGCGUGGGGAGCAAACAGG